GCUUCUCUGAUGUUAGCGGCGGACGGGUGAGUAACACGUGGAUAACCUACCUAUAAGACUGGGAUAACUUCGGGAAACCGGAGCUAAUACCGGAUAAUAUUUUGAACCGCAUGGUUCAAAAGUGAAAGACGGUCUUGCUGUCACUUAUAGAUGGAUCCGCGCUGCAUUAGCUAGUUGGUAAGGUAACGGCUUACCAAGGCAACGAUGCAUAGCCGACCUGAGAGGGUGAUCGGCCACACUGGAACUGAGACACGGUCCAGACUCCUACGGGAGGCAGCAGUAGGGAAUCUUCCGCAAUGGGCGAAAGCCUGACGGAGCAACGCCGCGUGAGUGAUGAAGGUCUUCGGAUCGUAAAACUCUGUUAUUAGGGAAGAACAUAUGUGUAAGUAACUGUGCACAUCUUGACGGUACCUAAUCAGAAAGCCACGGCUAACUACGUGCCAGCAGCCGCGGUAAUACGUAGGUGGCAAGCGUUAUCCGGAAUUAUUGGGCGUAAAGCGCGCGUAGGCGGUUUUUUAAGUCUGAUGUGAAAGCCCACGGCUCAACCGUGGAGGGUCAUUGGAAACUGGAAAACUUGAGUGCAGAAGAGGAAAGUGGAAUUCCAUGUGUAGCGGUGAAAUGCGCAGAGAUAUGGAGGAACACCAGUGGCGAAGGCGACUUUCUGGUCUGUAACUGACGCUGAUGUGCGAAAGCGUGGGGAUCAAACAGGAUUAGAUACCCUGGUAGUCCACGCCGUAAACGAUGAGUGCUAAGUGUUAGGGGGUUUCCGCCCCUUAGUGCUGCAGCUAACGCAUUAAGCACUCC
rnacentral:rRNA from 2 species